GUUCGUAGAAUCGAGCUCUAUCCAAAUAUACUUAGUGUGACCUCAUAAAGUCCACGAAUUUUUUUUUUAUGAUUACUGACCAAAAUUCAAACUUCGUAAUUAGUUUAAUUAAAAUCUAAAUUUAAUAAAAUUUAAUAUAAAUACCCAAAAAAAAAUAUAAAAUCUCCUUAAUACAAAUACGUAGUUUGCAAUAGUGAAAUCCAGAAAUGGGAUUUCACAUCUCUCGUCCUCCCUAAUCUUCAUACACCACAGACCAUUCCCAUUGAGCAAGAAAUGACCACCACCACUCACUACCUAGAAAACACCACCAUCGAACCAGGACCAAUAAAACCGCUCUAGAAGGAUUUUCUCCCAGUUCUUCGGUGACUGGCCAGCGACUUUGCAGGAUUUUUCCAGCCAACCUCGGCCAUCACUUGGUCCCAAAUUAAUACGAAUGUGUUCUCAUCAUUUGUAGCUUCAUUUCCAUAUAAAGAUCGUCGAUUUUGGUUAAGAAUUGAAGAAGUUAUGAACGUUUAAAGUUUACCCAUUUUUUUACGACCUCCACAGCUUUUGAGCCAUUGUUCAACCAAACCACGGUGAUUUAGCCAUCAAGAAAGGUACCAAUAUGUUUGUCUCAUUCAGAUGUAUGAUUUUCGUAUUUGAAUCACUUAAUUUUGUUGAGUAUUGACAAAGUUAUGGACGUUUAAAGUUUUUCAUUUUUUCGGCAAGUUCCCCAGUUUUCCCGCAGACUAAUCACCUUUCAGCCCAUUUGCUGACCAUCUCCAGCAACCAUUAGGCUCCAAAUUCUACAAUUUCCUAUCUUCAUUUUGAUAUAUAUUAUAGGUCAAAUUUGGUUGAGAAACGAGUGAGUUAUUAAGCUUUAAAAUUUGCCCAGAAAUUCGACCAAAAACCCAAAUUUCUGGCGAGGUUUUCUGUUGGCCGACGGUAGUUCCGGGGAUCGGAGAAAGGAAGAAGAAGAUGGAACAUUCUCUGAAAUAUUCUCAUAAUAUUCUUUAGAAUAUUCCUGGAAUAUACUCUAUGUUGACUUUGUGUUGACUUUUUUGAAAUUUUCUUAGAAACCCUCCUAGACUAAUUUUGACGCCCUGAAUAUGUUUUUAACAUCUAUUUAGUGAAAUUCUAAAGUUUUAACGUAGUUGACCGGCUCGGCGUCUCGGUUGACUUUUCAAGUCAAUCGUUGAC
rnacentral:lncRNA from 1 species